AUUGAACGCUGGCGGCAUGCCUUACACAUGCAAGUCGAACGGUAACGGGCCUUCGGGUGCCGACGAGUGGCGAACGGGUGAGUAAUACAUCGGAACGUGCCCGAUCGUGGGGGAUAACGAGGCGAAAGCUUUGCUAAUACCGCAUACGAUCUACGGAUGAAAGCAGGGGACCGCAAGGCCUUGCGCGGACGGAGCGGCCGAUGGCAGAGUAGGUAGUUGGUGGGAUAAAAGCUUACCAAGCCGACGAUCUGUAGCUGGUCUGAGAGGAUGAUCAGCCACACUGGGACUGAGACACGGCCCAGACUCCUACGGGAGGCAGCAGUGGGGAAUGUUGGACAAUGGGCGCAAGCCUGAUCCAGCCAUGCCGCGUGCAGGAUGAAGGCCUUCGGGUUGUAAACUGCUUUUGUACGGAACGAAAAGCCUUCUUUUAAUACAGGAGGGUCAUGACGGUACCGUAAGAAUAAGCACCGGCUAACUACGUG
rnacentral:rRNA from 1 species